UAAGGUGCAGUGGCCACCCCCCUGCCUGGUUGACGGUCGCAGUUAGCGCGCCGUCACGACGGAACGCAUUCUGAGCAAAGGGCUCAGGUUUUAUUUUUGGACUGCCAUGGAGAGUGGCCCUUCCAUUUGUAGGAAGGGAGUAUAGUUGCGCUCAACAUGAGCCUCCCGCUCUGACACUCCGGGCUGGGACAAGCAGGCAGCAGCCGGCCAACCCCCAAACAGCAGUCACACAGUGGACUCCCCUGUCCGGAGUGUGUUCGUCAACGGUAAUAGGCGUUAUCUGGGGGUUUAACUGCUCAUGGCUGCCAGUUAUUGCAAUGUCUCUGAAUCAGGCCUGCUGUCCCAGCAGUACCCUCCAGCUUUACUGCCCAAACCUGGCAAAGAAAAUGCUAGACUCCAGAAACUACUCAAGAAAACAGAGAAAAAAACAAAGAAAAAAGCUGCCCCUGAGACUGCCAAGACACCUGUCCCUUUCCGCUCAAACUUGUCCCCGGUGAAUGAAGCCAGCCCUGACUUGGAGCACAGUGACCACUCAACACCUCCCAAAACCCCAGAAACACCCUUCUACACGCUGCACCCCAGAUUUGUUGUCAGGCCAGUCUAUCGGCACGUCACCUCCCCUUACCCCCAACACAGAGGAGAGACGAGUGGUGGAAUAGCCAGGUUCUCCCCACAGCUGUACGCUCCUCCGGCACCCUCCUUCCCCCAGCAUGUGGCCCCACUCUACACAUUUACUCCGAGUCUCCCGCCACCCGUUCCAGGGCCGAUGUCCGAUGCAGUGGCACCCACAUGGCCCGUGCCAACCUCCUCUGUGCCUGAAUUGAUAACAACAGCUGCUGUUCAAACUGCUCCUCUAGUCCCUGCUCCUGUCACUCCUGCUGCCACACAAUCUACUUUAAGACUAGCCCCUGUACUAAUACCCCGCAAAAGUCCAAGUCCACGGUUUAAAGCUACAGAAGCUACACUAAAAGCACCCAGACCCAUGUUUGACGUCCCUCAAAUUUGGGUCUAUACGGCAUCUAAGUCGCCCCUGCAUGAUUACACUGGAAAGACAUCUACUGCGGGCCCAAUACCUUGGAUUAAAAGUACAAUACCAGAAAUCAGAAUAGCAACAACACCAACAGCUGAAAUCAAAACGAGUGGAACCCCAACAUUUGAAGUGAAAAGCAGUUUUACUUCAACAUCAGAGAUCAAAAGGGGUGCAGAGUUUGAAAUAUAUCAAGACACAAUACAGACAUCGGAAGUCAUAAGAAGUACAACGCAGAUACCAGAAAACAACAGGAGUCCAACACCUACAUCUGCGGUAAAAAGAGGUUUAGCAUCAGCACCUGAAAUCCAACGGAGUUUAACACCUACAUCUGAAGUGAAGAGAGCUAAAAUGCCAGUUCAUGAGUUUUUAACACCAAGAACUAAUAUGGGUCGACCUAAGACACCGUCAUAUCAUGUGACCCGUGCCAUAACACCUGUUUUUGAAAUAUCAAGACCCAACCCACUUUUAUUUGCGGUUUCGCCCAUUACUACAGAGACACAAAGAUCCACACCAACACUUGGUUCUAAUACUGACAGUAUAUCUUUGUCUGCUUCUCAAUAUCUAACAGCUUCUGAGACUGAGCCUUUAAAAUCGCUAUCAACUAUUUCAACAACUCAGAAUGGCGAAGUGAUGGCUAAAGAGACCGCUACAACCAAACUCUGCUCUGAAAACAUCUCAAAGCCAGAGGCCCCUCAACAAGAACCUCCAGUAGUUGAGUCUAACAGACCAAAAAAUCCUACAACUCAAUUAGGCAAUGAAAGACCCAAGACUCCAACAGUUGUCACAUCAAAAUCUACAGCAGCUUUAUGUCAAAUGCCCAAGAUUCCCUCAGCUGAGGAGCUUAAACCUCUGAUUUCAGCAGUUGGGUAUCAAAGACCACAACCACCAGCAGGGUAUCAAAGACCAAAGACACCCAUAGCUGGGGUAUCACCCAGAUUUCAAAGGCCAAAGACACCAACAUAUGUGGCCCCUAUACCAGCCCAUACAUAUUAUGGAUUGACUCCUGCUGAAUAUGUUGCCCAUGGUGGAAUUCAAAGUUUCUUACCUUCAUUCAGCAUAUCCAGGUCUAAGACCCCGACUCUAAUUGACUUUAAAAUUCCAGCGCAAGGGUUGGAGGUAUCUCAGAAACCUACCCAAGAGUUGCUUGUGAAAACACAAGAUUUGCCCACAUUGUUAAACCAAGAAGCAUCCUCCAAAGAGCUGAAGCAAAUAAGUUCAAUUGAGUCCAUAGUAUCCAUGACUGCGGAUGUUCAACUUCCACUUCCAACAAUUUUUGUUACACAAGCUGAAGACAUUUCAGAACCAAGCGUAUCUACGGCUGUUACCAGCAGAAUAACAACUACUGUUGAAGAAACACCAAAAGUUAAAACUAUGGCCUACCCAAGACCAUGGUCUAAAAGCCCAAUACCUGAGGUUAAGAAUCAAGAGGUUGAAAUCCUAGUGAAAACAGAAACUAAUAGAGUAUCCCCAAAACCCACCCUAGAAACUCAACAUCCCAAGCCUGCUGUUGCCAUCAUAGAUGCCAUCAAGUCAACACCUCUUCUCCCAAAAACAGAAUCUCCUGUUGCAGAAGUCAGUGUGGCACAGCAAAAAGAGUUAAAGGAAUCAACUGAUCUUAAAACACCCACAAAAAUAAUCUCAGAGGCUGAAACAGCAGUAACAAAGCCAAACAAUAGUUUUCCAGUUGCACAAACAGCUCCUGAGAAAACUGUGGGAGCAGUUCUGGCUAAACCAAAGGAUAACCAAGAAGCCAAACUUGAAAAGUCAGUAUUAACUUCAACCACACAAUUGACAGAUAAUAAGAACGAUUCUCUUCCAGCAGCUGAACCUCUUCUUAAAGUGAUCCAAAAGCCAAAGGGCAUGAUGAAGUCAAAGCUCAGUGGUUGGUCACGGCUCAAGAAACACAUGGUGGUGGAAGAAGAACCACCUCUCUCCCAGGAAUCAGAUUCUAAAAAAGAAACUUCCAAGGAAACUGAGCAGGAGGGAGGUGAAGCAAAAAAAGAUGAAAAGGUGUCGUUGAAAGACAUGGUGUCGGUUGCAAAGGUUGAUGAUCUCCCCAAAACAGCAAAUAAAUGGGAUUCUCUUCUGUAUGAUAUGUUCUCCUCUAAAGAGAAGAUUAUGCAGGUGAUAGAAGCUAGCAAAAGCGAGGAGGAGAAAAAAGUUGAGCCAAAGAAUACCCAAAAAGAAAUCCCCUCCUUUGCCUACCGUCUGCCUGUCCUUCUUUUCAGCCCAAAGUUUGAUGCCAAAAGGCUGAAAGAGGCUGCAUCAAGGCCGCUUACAAAAAUUUCGACAGUGUUUGAGAUGGGUCUCAUAGGACGUAAAAACAAAGACGAAGAACCGAAAGACUUUAACAGAACAGCUAGAGGGUUCACUUGUCCUUAAAACCAUGUCUCUUUGGACCGGUAAAUAUCAAACAAUAAUAAAAUGUUGAAACGGUCUGUUAAAUGUUUUAUGUAUACAGGUGUCAGUGGUGAUAACGCACCGAUCCAGUGUAACACUCUCUCUGCUUUAUACCCGGUAAGUGAUGAUGAAAAAUUAUGCACCAUGGCGCAUUUGAGCGCUGACUCUUCUGUUGUUUGAUUAUGUUAUGGAUGUCUGAAGUUGCCUUUGUUAUCUGACAUUACUAUGUUGGCAAACGGAGGAUUUAAAAAAAAAAAAAAAUGUUGUCUUAAAGAAAUUCAGACAUCUCAUGAGAUUAAAAUGUACAAAGUUUAAGUAAAUCUCAGAGUUUCUUUUUGUGUCCACUGUUGAACACAGAUAGGAGAUCGAAGGGCUAUUUCAAAAAAAUAUUCAUAUUCUUUUUCAAAAAUGGUCCUGAGACUGUAGUGUGAUGUACAUACUUACUAAGAAACACCACCUACUGAAAAAUAGUCUUUAUAGUAUAGAAUUUGGACUCCAGGACAUUUGGAGCGAAGUUUCCAAAUAAGGAUAAGGAAAAGAUGACAGAACGAAGGUACAAUUGUUGUAGGUGUUUAUCUUCCCAAAUGGUGCUAUUUACGUACAAUUCUUAGAUGAUCAGGUCAUACAUACCUUUUCUGAGAAGGUUUAAGUAAACUGAAGAUGCUAUGCCAGCUUUGCCUGCUUUCAUUUUAGGACUACUGGUCAGUGAGAGAAUUAUUUAAGAAACAGGGUGGCUAACUGCUGUGCUGAUGCAACUCUUUGAAGGAAGUAUUUGACUGCUGGCUUGGAAAGAUAAAAUGUCAAGGAGAGGAGAUGUGGGAUACAGACAGCAGUGAUGAAACAAAGAAAAAUGUAUACAGGAAGUAUUUAAAGGCCGAAUCCUGACUUGAGAUCCACACAUUUUCCAUUGACAUCAAGGCAGGUUUAAUGUGAAAGUAAAAUAGAAUUAAAUAACAAUAAUGUGAAAAUAAAAUAUAAUCAAAUAGCAUAUUUCUAACAAACAGUCAGACACAAAUACAUAUACACACACACACACACACACACACACACACACACAUACACACAUAUACACAGUUCAGUUUCAAAUAGGCAGCUUACAAACGGGGACCCAUAAG